rnacentral:rRNA from 2 species
UGGGGAAUAUUGCACAAUGGGCGCAAGCCUGAUGCAGCCAUGCCGCGUGUAUGAAGAAGGCCUUCGGGUUGUAAAGUACUUUCAGCGGGGAGGAAGGGAGUAAAGUUAAUACCUUUGCUCAUUGACGUUACCCGCAGAAGAAGCACCGGCUAACUCCGUGCCAGCAGCCGCGGUAAUACGGAGGGUGCAAGCGUUAAUCGGAAUUACUGGGCAUAAAGCGCACGCAGGCGGUUUGUUAAGUCAGAUGUGAAAUCCCCGGGCUCAACCUGGGAACUGCAUCUGAUACUGGCAAGCUUGAGUCUCGUAGAGGGGGGUAGAAUUCCAGGUGUAGCGGUGAAAUGCGUAGAGAUCUGGAGGAAUACCGGUGGCGAAGGCGGCCCCCUGGACGAAGACUGACGCUCAGGUGCGAAAGCGUGGGGAGCAAACAGG